rnacentral:rRNA from 1 species
AACGUAGGCGCCGUACGUUAUCCGGAGUUACUGGGCGUAAAGGGCGUGCAGGCGGCCUUCUAAGUCUGGCGUGAAAGAACCCGGCUCAACCGGGAGAGGUCGUCGGAGACUGGGAGGCUAGAGGGCGGUAGAGGCGUGUGGAAUUCCGGGUGUAGUGGUGAAAUGCGUAGAGAUCCGGAGGAACACCAGUGGCGAAGGCGACACGCUAGGCCGCACCUGACGCUGAGAGGCGACAGCAUGGGGAGCGAACGGG